rnacentral:rRNA from 1 species
CCUACGGGGGGCAGCAGUGGGGAAUAUUGCACAAUGGGGGAAACCCUGAUGCAGCGACGCCGCGUGAGCGAAGAAGUAUUUCGGUAUGUAAAGCUCUAUCAGCAGGGAAGAAAUUGACGGUACCUGAGUAAGAAGCUCCGGCUAAAUACGUGCCAGCAGCCGCGGUAAUACGUAUGGAGCAAGCGUUAUCCGGAUUUACUGGGUGUAAAGGGAGCGUAGGCGGCCUGCCAAGUCUGAUGUGAAAUACCGGGGCUCAACCCCGGGGCUGCAUUGGAAACUGGCAGGCUGGAGUGUCGGAGAGGCAGGCGGAAUUCCUAGUGUAGCGGUGAAAUGCGUAGAUAUUAGGAGGAACACCAGUGGCGAAGGCGGCCUGCUGGACGAUGACUGACGCUGAGGCUCGAAAGCGUGGGGAGCAAACAGGAUUAGAUACCCGGGUAGU